rnacentral:rRNA from 1 species
AUGAGAGGUCCAGUUAGUGAAAUAGGUCAUUAUGUGCAUGAUUAUUUCUCAGUUAAAAGAUUCAAUGCAACCUAUGCUGAUAAUUUGCCUGCAAUGGAGGGAAAGCAACAAUGGGAUGUGAUUGACCCAGGUUUCAAACUAUGUGCACCACUGCAAAAUAGGGCACGUGAAAGACCGAGGAAGACAAGAAUUAGAUCAAAGUCUGAGGGAAAAGGACUUGGGGGGUGGAAACAUAAAUGUGACAGAUGUGGAAGACUUGGUCACCGUGGCAAGAACUGCAAAGAAUCAGGUGACCCUGCUUUUGGAGAAGAUGAACAUUGGGGUGCAGACAGUGCAUAUGAAGACCCUGUUGAAACUGAAGAUGCAGUUGCAAAUGAAGAUUCAGAUGCAAAUGAAGAUACAUAUCAUGUUGCGGAUCCAGGAGCACAAGAUACAGUUGCAAAUGAAGCUUCAGUAGUAGUCAGGUAA